UGAGAACUGAAUUUCAUUGGUUGUAAAUGAAUCUUUGCUAGACCCGUGGAACUCAGUUCUGUA
rnacentral:pre_miRNA from 1 species